rnacentral:rRNA from 1 species
GUCCACGCCCUAAACUAUGUCAACUGGUUGUCGGGGAAGCAAUUCCUUGGUAACGAAGCUAACGAGUGAAGUUGACCGCCUGGGGAGUACGGCCGCAAGGUUAAAACUCAAAGGAAUUGACGGGGACCCGCACAAGCGGUGGAUUAUGUGGAUUAAUUCGAUGCAACGCGAAAAACCUUACCUACCCUUGACAUGUACGGAACCUCGCAGAGAUGUGAGGGUGCCCGAAAGGGAACCGUAACACAGGUGCUGCAUGGCUGUCGU